CUCUGGUUCCUUUCUUUCUCUCUAAAUCGCGCGGUCCUCCAAGAACACUCCUCCCUCACCAUCACCGAACCACAUCUUCAUGCUCUCUACCCUUGGAGAGAAUCAGGACACCAAAACCUAAUCUCAUUCGAAGCACUCUCGAUUUCGCGUUCGCUCCUCACCGAACUACAUUUUCUUGGCUGCCUCGAGCGUCGCCUCAAACACCAAACCUCAUCUUCCGCUAGGUUUUCCUUAUCUCUCACCUUUUGACCGAUUGUUUUGUUUUUUCCUUCAUUUUUCACCGAUUGAGAUCGGUUUCUAUCUAUUUACACCGAUUAAAUCUUCGUUCCAACCUUUUCCACCGAUUAAAUCCCUUCCUACCUCGAACCCUAGAAUCUCCUUCGAACAAACCUUCGAAUCUAGGGUUCGCCUUUGAUUUCACCGUCUUUCGUUGUGUCCUUGUUCGUCGACUCGAUUUUACAUCGGAAUCAUGGAUUCAUGUCGAUUCGCCUCGACUAGGAGUCAUCACUCGUUCAUCAUUCUUUGGUGUGAUAUUUUGUGUAGUCUCGUUCAUCAUUCUCUGAUGUGGUGUGGUAAGAGAUAGUCUAUGUGUUGGCGUGCUGGUAAUAAUGACUGAAUUGGAGCUUGGUGGUUUCAGGAUUUACAUUUCCAUAACUCAGCAGAGAUCUUCAAAACAUUAUAACUACUACCGCCGUGUCACAAUCUGCUCAGCAAACUAAUUCCAAAGGAAGCCAGUGUUAUCUGGUCACAACCAGUUUAAAUUUUGAGGGUGGAGCUUCAAUGAUUUUAAAACCAGAGCAGUACCUUAUGCAUAAUGGUUAUCGUGAUGGUGCUGAAAUGUGGUGCAUCAGUUUCCAGAAUGUACAUGAGGGAGUUUCAAUUUUAGGAGGUUGAAUUUCCGAACCUGGAGACCCUGAAGCUGUAUUUAAUCAAUAUCCAGAUGAUAUGGAUUAAUCACCAUCAUUCUUACUUUGAAAACUUGACCUCUUUGACAGUAGAUGGAUGUGAACGGUUGGCAUAUAUUUUCUCAUACCCUGUGGCUGUAAAACUUGUCAAGCUUCAACAUCUUUUACUUAGUUCGUGCAAAUUCGUAGAAAAGAUAUUUGAGCCGGAUGAAAACUUGGGUCACAUUCAUCAUUUUAGAAAAUCCACUCAAACAGAACUGGUUCCAAUUUUCCCCAACCUGGAGACAUAUGUGAUUUCUCAGAUGGAUAAUUUGAAGGCAAUAUGGCCAGCCCUACUCCCUCAAAAUUCGUUUUGUAAACUGAAAAAGAUGGAAAUCGCAUCCUGCAACAAUCUCUUGAAUGUUUUCCGAUGUCAUGUGCUAGACAAAUUACAAAGCCUGUAAUCACUGAAUGUAUGGAAGUGUAUGGCAUUGGAAGUUGUA